rnacentral:tmRNA from 1 species
ACUGUCAGCUGGCGCGGCGUCUUCCCUGCCCCUCGGGUAGCGCAGCGUGAGAACCAAAGAGCGGGCUACGUACGUAGAGCCUGAAGUCUAGGACUUGCGGACGGGGGUUCGAUUCCCCCCGCCUCCACCA